rnacentral:rRNA from 1 species
UGGGGAAUAUUGCACAAUGGAGGGAACUCUGAUGCAGCGACGCCGCGUGAGUGAUGAAGGAAUUCGUUUCGUAAAACUCUGUUCUAUGGGAAGAAAAGGACUGUACCAUAGGAGAAAGCUCCGGCUAAAUACGUGCCAGCAGCCGCGGUAAUACGUAUGGAGAGAGCGUUGUCCGGAAUUAUUGGGCGUAAAGGGUGCGCAGGCGGCUUUACAAGUUGGAUGUGAAAUAUUGUGGCUCAACCACAAACGUGCAUCCAAAACUGAAAAGCUUGAGUUAAGGAGAGGUAAGUGGAAUUCCUGGUGUAGCGUUGGAAUGCGUAGGUAUCAGGAGGAAUACCGGUGGCGAAGGCGACUUACUGGACGUAUUCUGACGCUCAGGCACGAAAGCGUGGGGAGCAAACAGG